UACGUAGGGAGCAAGCGUUGUCCGGAAUCAUUGGGCGUAAAGCGCGCGUAGGCGGCCCCGUAAGUCCGCUGUGAAAGUCAAAGGCUCAACCUUUGAAAGCCGGUGGAUACUGUGGGGCUAGAGUCCGGAAGAGGCGAGUGGAAUUCCUGGUGUAGCGGUGGAAUGCGCAGAUAUCAGGAGGAACACCCGUGGCGAAGGCGGGUCUCUGGGCCGAUACUGACGCUGAGGAGCGAAAGCGUGGGGAGCGAACAGG
rnacentral:rRNA from 1 species